AGGCUUAACACAUGCAAGUCGAGGGGCAGCGGGGGAUAAGCUUGCUUUUCCUGCCGGCGACCGGCGCACGGGUGAGUAACACGUAUGCAACCUGCCCCUGUCAGAGGGAUAAUCCGGAGAAAUCCGGUCUAAUAUCGCAUAAAGCGUUUGCGGGGCAUCCUGCGAGCGCCAAAGGAGUAAUCCGGACAGGGAUGGGCAUGCGGCGCAUUAGCUAGUUGGGGGGGUAACGGCCCACCAAGGCGACGAUGCGUAGGGGUUCUGAGAGGAAGGUCCCCCACAUUGGUACUGAGACACGGACCAAACUCCUACGGGAGGCAGCAGUGAGGAAUAUUGGUCAAUGGGCGGAAGCCUGAACCAGCCAAGUCGCGUGAGGGAAGACGGCCCUAAGGGUUGUAAACCUCUUUUGCCGGGGAGCAAAAGCGCCGUGCGCGGUGCUAUGAGAGUACCCGGAGAAAAAGCAUCGGCUAACUCCGUGCCAGCAGCCGCGGUAAUACGGAGGAUGCGAGCGUUAUCCGGAUUUAUUGGGUUUAAAGGGUGCGUAGGCGGACAGUUAAGUCAGCGGUCAAAACGGGCGGCUCAACCGCCUGCCGCCGUUGAAACUGGCAGUCUAGAGUGGGCGAGAAGUACGCGGAAUGCGCGGUGUAGCGGUGAAAUGCAUAGAUAUUGCGCAGAACUCCGAUUGCGAAGGCAGCGUACCGGCGCCCGACUGACGCUGAGGCACGAAAGCGUGGGGAUCGAACAGGAUUAGAUACCCUGGUAGUCCACGCAGUAAACGAUGGACACUAUCUGUUCGGGUCGAGAGAGAUCUGAGUGGCACAGCGAAAGCGUUAAGUGUCCCACCUGGGGAGUACGCCGGCAACGGUGAAACUCAAAGGAAUUGACGGGGGCCCGCACAAGCGGAGGAACAUGUGGUUUAAUUCGAUGAUACGCGAGGAACCUUACCCGGGCUCAAACGCACGACGGCGGCACGUGAAAGCGUGCUUACCUACGGGACGUUGUGCGAGGUGCUGCAUGGUUGUCGUCAGCUCGUGCCGUG
rnacentral:rRNA from 1 species